GCCAUGUGGACUCACUGAAAGAGCUAUAAACUACAUGAACUAUCUCUCUUAAUAUACUACUAGAUAUCAAGAUGAAGGCAGCCUUGAUAGCAGCCACGGUCCUCACACUGGUCUGCUCCCUUCAUAAAGCCAGCUCUCUGGGGAAGCUGAACGUACCCGUGGUUUUACUUCCCUAUGUCCCCUCCAGCACUGGAGUCAAGGUCAACUUCACUCUGAGCUCCCCUCAAGGUUGCUUCUCAUGGUGUUGGCAAGUCCACCCUCUUCCGCUCUAUGGCGUGUUGUGAGCUGCGUCUACCAGCUGGUGUGAGUGUACUACACGUGGAGCAAGAGGUCACCGGGGACAACACACUAGCAGUGGAUAGUGUACUCGAGUGUGACACUGAGAGAGUGCAGCUGCUCGCUAGAGAGGGGGAGCUACUGUAUGGCCUCAGAGGACAAGGACACAGCAGCAGGCAGCGCUUCUGAUGAGCUGGCUGAGGUAUACCUUCCACUACAGGAGAUAGACGCUGACAAAGCACCAGCAAGAGCUGGCUGUAUUCUGGCUGGUCUGGGGUUCACUCCACAGAAGAAUGAGAUUUUAUCUGGCUAAGACACUAUUUGCAAGAUGUGGGAACACGGAACCAUCGUCGGUUGUGUGCAGUGUAUUAUAGUCGUACCCCCGGGUUUGAAGUGAUCCAUGGACUACUGGACCGUGUCAUGCAGCUGCUGGAGGUGUCCUUCACCAAAGAUGGCAGUGGAUACUUCCUCAAGGCAGCUGAAGACUCUACUUAUUUCCCGGGCCUUUGUGCAGAGGUGUGUGUACGUGGGAAGGUGAUCGAGAAACUGGGCAUGCUCCAUCCUGGUGUGUCUGUUGUGCAGCUCUAGUGUGUGUGAGACUGGGAGGUGUGUCUGGUGCAGCUGUUCUCACGGCCUCCUCCAACCAGUACCUGCCCUCCGUACUCUCUAGGGAGAACCUAUCUCCUCAGGGUCUCCAUGGUGAUAUGGUGCUGGUGGCGGGCGUCAACACUUGUAUGGCCAAGGUUAAGGUCGUCUGAGGAAGAGGGCGUGGCAGGGGGUGGAGCCUGAUAUCAUCAAGCCACUAGCUACAGCCCUCCAUGGAUGUGUACAUUCUGCCACUGCCACCCACAGAGGUCAAGGGUCACCGGGCUGGAAGCCAUCCUACAAGACAUCAGUAUUCUAUUUUAUAUUAAUCUCUUGUGCCGAGCCUGUUUCCAUGACGAUACGACCAGUGAUUGGUCAUAUGCCAGACUGCCCUCUAUUGACUCAGACCAACAAUCAUUUAGUUUCCUGUGCUGAGUGGACGACUUUUGAAAUAACGAUAAUUAUAUAAAUAUGGUGGGGUGCUUUACCUUGCUGCAUUGGACGUGGUGAUUGUCCAAUCAGAAUGCUCUACCCACCCCCCAGACCUCCUCACUACAACACAAGGACUCAGAUAUCAGUCUUCUUUUUCUCUCCUCCUUCGCAAUCCACCAGAACUAACGAAAUACUGCUCUUCAAUCACCCUCUAAACAAGGGCGCCCUCACUAUAACCCACGGCUCUGAUCAUUCCUGAUAAUGUCAUUGAGUUACUUGACUGUUUGCAGCACCCAGACACUGGUGAGGUUCAUGACCUCCCGACCCUCAUAACCAAGCACCAGGUGGUGGAGAUCAACGACCCAGUGCAAGUGACCCCCAAACACCUCGUCAUUCUCAGGGACCUCCAAACAGAGUUCAAAUACCAGCACCAAUUGAAUGUGAGUGUGCUAGCUAGCUUGUUGAGAGCUAAACCUGUGUAGGGUACCAGCUACAUAGGCUUGUACAUGGCUUGUAAUAAUAAUUACCGUAUAGCGAGUAAUUUCCGUGAAGAAGUGAAAAUUCGUUCAUCUCGAAAGCGGUGAUUUUCGUUUGACUUCAUUGCCUGCAACCUACUGGUUUUACUAAUACGUGUAGAUAUGAACAAUUGUAAGGAUCACGUUUAUUUUGUUUCUAAUACAUGUAUAACUAUUAGAUUGCAUAUGCAAUUCCCGUACUUUGAAUGCAAUAAUAAAUCAAGCUUGUACAGUGUCAUUCACAAUCCAUUAACUAUCCGUACUCUUCAGGGAGAACCUAUAUAUAUGUCCUCAGGUUAGUGUGUGUUCAUGACCUCCUUGACAGUAUGUGUACCCAGGUACAUGUAUAAUUAGUGUGUGUAGUUGCAGUACAUGUAUUUGAUUUCACACAUCCGUCCUCUAACCACUUAUCAAUGCAAACAGCCACUUAGACCGCUGCACAAGUAGCUCAUGUGUAAUUUGCCAGAGGAUAUAUACAUUGUAACGGCUGGCUUGCGAGACUAGCUCUCAUCAUUCAACUAAUUUCACAUUCGAUGGUACUCUUGUUUUUACUAAUACUACGUGAUAUGAUGAUCCCAGUAUCAUAUUGAGUUUCAAAUGCAGUGAUUUUUCAAUUGCAAAUCUUAUGUGUCGAAAGAAAUGAUUAUAGAUUGCAAUUUCCAUGCUUUGCAUGCAAUUUAUUAUAGUUACAACGCAAUCAAGCUUGUACAGUGUCAUUCACAAUCCAUUAACCUCUCAUUGGAUAGUACUGUCCCUAUUCCUGUGUUGUACACUACUGUCUACCGUAUAUAUAUAUGUUUCGUGUGGUAAAAAAUUCGAGAAAAGGUGGUUUUCGUCAGUAAAAAUUUCGUUUAGUCUCGUGGCUGCACGGCAUUCCUACGUUCAGAUAAGCCACGCCUACGUUAAAAUUUCGUGGAGGUCAGCCUGCCCAUAAAAAUAACGAAUAUUUUACCCACGAAAAUUACCCGCUAUACGGUAUUUAAUUGUAGAUUGUGUUAUUUAUGUUUAUGUGAUCAAUUUUCUGAACCAAUUUUCCCUCCCCACACACUCUCGUGCAUGGACAAAGAUGAUGUGUACAGUUUUGGAGUGCUUGCUUGUGAAGUGGUAAAUGCCAGAUUUCCUGAAGCUGCUGUAUUUCUGCGUCUGCUAUCGAGUAUGGAAGGUGUAUGGCGGGAGCUCCACCCACUCAUUACCUCCUGUGUCUCUCACUCCCCUCAGGACAGACCCUCCAUGGACACACUGUGCUACACCACAUCAAACAAUUGAACUCUGAGUCUUAGCAUUGGUGCAUGAGUGUGUUAUUAUUAAUUUGUGUAAAGAAAUUU